AACGACCCAAGAAGGUCGAAGCGCGGCUGCGGCCUACGGAGCGGAAGGACACUCCGCCUCCGCCACCGCCCCUCUCCUGCCCCGGGGGAGGUGCUGGGGAGCGCUGGGUAGUGGCCGCUGGAAGGCAGGGGAGGGGACGGGACGCUGUUCAGGAUGGGGCGGACGCUCGUGGAGCUCUUCUACGAUGUGGUAUCCCCUUACUCCUGGUUGGGGUUUGAGGUACUCUGCAGGUACCAGCACAUCUGGAAUAUUGAUCUGCGCUUUCGUCCAGCUUUCCUUGGUGGCAUAAUGCAAGCAACUGGUAACAAGCCCCCAGCAAUGUUGCCAAAGCGUGCAGAAUACCUGCUGAAGGAUAUAAAAAGGAUGGCAGAAUACUACCAAGUGCCUGUACAAAUUUCAGGAGAUGACUUCCAACGUAUUCUUGGUAAAAGCACUCUUGGGGCCAUGCGCUUUAUCACAGCCAUUGACAUGACACAACCACGAUACUUAGAACCCUUAUCUAGGGAGUUCUGGAUACGUUUUUGGUCACAGCAUGAAGAUAUCAGUCAGCCGGAGAAUAUAUUGGCUGUUGCAGGACAGGCUGGGCUGUCAUCAGAGGUUGCCCAGAAACAACUUGAAAUGAUUUCAUCCUCUGCAGUGAAGAACCGACUGAAAGAGACAACAGAGGAAGCAAUAAAAUACGGGGAAACCAAGGUUGACCCAUUCAGCUCAUUCCAGUCAGACGACAAGGAUAGGGAGCUCCAAGGCCAGUAAUAAGAGAUACCAUUUAUCACUACUUGACAUAAAGCUGUGGAUUUAUCAGGCUGCUUUUUUGUUCCUUCAAAAGGGCACACAGGCUCUGGAGAGUCCUUUACUUUUUUUAUAGCUCCAUUAGAUUCAUCUUUAAGAAUGAAAGAGGUGAAAAGAAGGGAAGGGAAAAAAGUCAAAAGUUUUUACUUUUUAUUCCUGAAGAUUGAUCAUGUCUCUGCAAAAAUUUCUCUCAUUAUAAAAUUCUCUGUUUCAUCUCCAUGAUGUCAAUAGGCAUUUGGGAUGCCUACUGUUGUGGCACAUUUUAAUGGGGAACCUCAUCUCUUUUUUGGCUCCGAUCGUUUAGAGCUGCUAGGCAGCAUUAUAGGUGAAAAAUGGCAGGGGCCAGUUCCAUCAGUUCCAAGCCACAAGAUGUGAAAAGUCCUGGGGAAAUAUAUAAAAGGGAAAAUAUACAUGUACAUGAUCAGUCUUCAGAUUAUCUGAAUGUAUCUGAUUUUAUGAAGAGGUGGCUUUCUCGUCUUUAACAGUUCACUUUACAGCUCAGUCCUAUCUCUAAUUAGGAAAAAGUUCAAGGUUUGCCAGUAUUACCAGUCUGGUGAGGUCUUUACCAAUACAAAUGUGCUUCUUUUCUUUCAAAGAUUAAUGAUUAACAUUAAAGAUUAAACAUUAAAUAUUUAA